CCUACGGGUGGCAGCAGUAGGGAAUAUUGCUCAAUGGGGGAAACCCUGAAGCAGCAACGCCGCGUGGAGGAUGAAGGUUCUCGGAUUGUAAACUCCUUUUGUUAGAGAAGAUAAUGACGGUAUCUAACGAAUAAGCACCGGCUAACUCCGUGCCAGCAGCCGCGGUAAUACGGAGGGUGCAAGCGUUACUCGGAGUCACUGGGCGUAAAGAGCGCGUAGGCGGGGUAGCAAGGCAGAUGUGAAAUCCUAUGGCUUAACCAUAGAACUGCAUUUGAAACUGUUAUUCUAGAGUAUGGGAGAGGUAGGUGGAAUUCGUGGUGUAGGGGUGAAAUGCGUAGAGAUCAAGAGGAAUACUGAUGGCGAAGGCGACCUGCUAGAACAUAACUGACGCUGAUGCGCGAAAGCGUGGGGAGCAAACAGGAUUAGAUACCCCAGUAGUC
rnacentral:rRNA from 1 species